rnacentral:rRNA from 1 species
AGAGGAACUCUGACCAGUCUGACGCCGCGUGAGGAUGAGGCUCGGGUUGUAACCCCCANUCAUUUUCAGGCAGAGAAUAAGCGAAUGAGGUACCUGCAAAGAACACCGGCUACUAUGUGCCAGCAGCCGGCGGUUAAAUACAUAGGGUGCAAGCGUUGUCCGGAAUUAUUGGGCGUAAAGAGCUCGUAGGUGGUCGAUCACGUCAGGAUGUGAAAAUCUGAGGCUUAACCUCAGACCUGCAUUCGAUACGGGUUGACUGGAGUGUGGUAGGGGAGACUGGAAUUCCUGGUGUAGCGGUGGAAUGCGCAGAUAUCAGGAGGAACACCGAUGGCGAAGGCAGGUCUCUGGGCCAUUACUGACACUGAGGAGCGAAAGCGUGGGGAGCGAACAGGAUUAGAUACCCUGGUAGUCCACGCCCUAAACGAUGUCAACUGGUUGUUGGGUCUUCACUGACUCAGUAACNA